GGGCCAGUGCCGCAAUGGAUAACGUGUCUGACUUUGGAUCAAAAGACAGUAGGUUCGGCUCCUACCUGGCUCG
rnacentral:tRNA from 1 species